UACAGAGGUCUCAAGCGUUUGUUCGGAUUCAUUGGGCGUAAAGGGUGCGUAGGCGGCGCGGUAAGUCGGAUGUGAAAUCUCGGAGCUUAACUCCGAAACUGCAUUCGAUACUGCCGUGCUUGAGGACUGGAGAGGAGACUGGAAUUUACGGUGUAGCGGUGAAAUGCGUAGAUAUCGUAAGGAAGACCAGUGGCGAAGGCGGUCUCCUGGAGCAUUCUUGACGCUGAGGCGCGAAAGCUGGGGGGAGCGAACGGG
rnacentral:rRNA from 1 species